UAAUCAAUACAACUAGUACCAGUUGACAAAUUGAUUGCAGUACAAUUCGUACCCUGAGAACAGAGUAAGCACCUGCCAUCAGCAAAUUUGUUUAUAUUAUUGAUACUGAUAUUUUUCCUGCAUUGACGUCAUAUACGUUAUAUACACAGGGUGUGUAAAAUAAAGCGCACAGUUUGAGAAUGUUCGCUAAACUGCAAAUUCCGCAAAAUAUGUGAAAACUUUAUGCAAGCAU